rnacentral:rRNA from 1 species
CCUACGGGUGGCAGCAGUGAGGAAUAUUGGUCAAUGGGCGCGAGCCUGAACCAGCCAAGUAGCGUGAAGGAUGACUGCCCUAAGGGUUGUAAACUUCUUUUAUAAAGGAAUAAAGUGAGGCACGCGUGCCUUUUUGUAUGUACUUGAUGAAUAAGCAUCGGCUAACUCCGUGCCAGCAGCCGCGGUAAUACGGAGGAUCCGAGCGUUAUCCGGAUUUAUUGGGUUUAAAGGGAGCGUAGAUGGAUUGUUAAGUCAGUUGUGAAAGUUUGCGGCUCAACCGUAAAAUUGCAGUUGAAACUGGCAGUCUCGAGUUGGGGAGAGGUAGGCGGAAUGCGUGGUGUAGCGGUGAAAUGCAUAGAUAUCGCGAAGAACUCCGAUUGCGAAGGCAG